GAGGGUAUAGCUCAGUGGUAGAGUGCAUGCUUUGCAUGCAGGAGGUCCUGGGUUCCAUCCUCAGUACCUCA
rnacentral:tRNA from 1 species